GGUAAGAGGAGCAGGAGCAACUGAAUUUCCGUAUUAAAAAAAGGAACUUUUCCUCUUAUCAUCCACAAUAUAUAACAGGACUGCUAGAUGGAUCAUGAUCAUAAGUGUGAAGGUAAACUAUUAUAGCUUCCAGGAGAUAACAGAAAAAUAUCUCCAUGAUUUUAAUGAUGGUUUCUUCAACAUGUCACAAAAAGUAUUUAUAGUAGUGGCAAAUAGGACUUUAUUAAAAUUAAGAACUUGGGUUCAUCAAGACACCAUUAAGAGAAUGAAAAGGAAGACAGAGUGGGAAAAGAUAUUUUCAAUCCAUCUAUCUGACAAAGGACUUAUAUCAAGUAUAUCCAAGUAUACCUAAAUAUUCCAUAAGUAUAUCUAAGACAGCAGAAAUACUGAAGCCUAUCCACAUGAAAAGGAAAGGAAUGAUUAAUUAGGAAAGUAAUAAGAAGAGAGAAAACACUGUAUUGGGAGAGAAACGAAAACAAGGGUAAAUUUUAUGUGAUGAGCUUACAAGACAUUGGUGAGAAAUGUUUGUGGAAAUUUAGUUAGUUCGUCAAUGAGAAGAGAAUAUAAACUAAGAAGAUAUGCUUAGCAUGUAAAUGUUAUUAAAACAAUGACAAGGAUAAAUAAUAGAAUAGAUGGGAACAUUGUUGGAAAAUUAUUAGGCAUUAUCUUUUUGGAUUUCAACAAUCAAGUUUUCUUUUGGAAUUCCCCAAAAUCAACUUGGAAGGGAUACAAAGUGGAAGAUAUUUCUGGCCUCCGUAGCUCAACUCAAAGGCAACACUGAGCUGAAAUAAACAGAAUAUCUGGUGCUAUUAAUCAUUUGUACACCAGGAACUUUAUGAGUUCUUGUCAGACACGUUCCAGUUGCUCCUUGAGACCCACUCUCCACUCCCACUCCCUGACUCACUCUUCUCUCUGUGAUGGGAAUUGACAUGUAGGAACCCCUCUGGCUUCCAGUGGCUGUGGUCAUUAGGACAUGCUUUCAGGAGAUUGGCAGGGAGGAAGAGAGUGAGGUCCAGGCAUUUAUUCUCCACUUCCAUUCCUGCAAGUUGCUUCGGGCUGGCCACUGCUCCUCUCAAGCGGGCCUUCUCUCCAUAUUUAUUUCCUUCUAGGAUUCCGUAACUGCUUCUACCUUCACACCUUUGAGCCUAGGAUGGUUACUAUCCCCGAGGAAGCCCACACAUACCUUUGAAAAUAGCCUCUUCAUGGAUCUUCCUCAAAUUAUCCUGAUUUGAGGGUGCCCCCUGUCUCUCACUGAGUCUCCAACUGAGAAACACGAGGCAGGUGUCACUCAGAACAUUUAUAAUCACACAGUCAUUUCUCCCAAAUUUAGGAAGAAACAUCCUUUCAACAGCCUAGCCUGAUCUUCUAAUGAUUUUUAGGGAAAGAGAGUCAAUGUUUUCCCUAAAUAACAUACCCAGCAUUAAACCAACCUUUGCUGACAGAAAUUUAUACUUUUUACACAAUGAAAAUCCAUACCUCUUUCCCUCUUUAUGCUUGUCACUGAGAUCACAGGAUAUCCGUGUUAAGAAGGGACCUUGGACAUCAUCAAAUCCAGACAUUUCCAAAUGGGUGUUUCUGUUUGUGCUCUGGAUACAUGUUCUAAGUUUCAAAAGGAUAGAUGGAAAUUAUUCAUCUGUCUAGGCUGGCACCACAGGGGUUCUUCUGUUGUUUGCAAUGUAUUUAGUGGACAAAAUCUUUCCAAACACACAUCCUCUAUGAAGAGUUGGGAACUCACCAACACAGCUUAACCUCCUCCUUGUAGCUCAGAGAGGCUAUAGCUUAUCCAAAUGCACUCAGUUAGCUUGUUGCAUAACUUGGAAUUCAGCCCUGGUUUUCCUGCUCCUCGUUAGUCCUCUUUCUAUUGCACAAUCCUCCUUCUUAGAUGAAAACUUCUUGACCCAAUACGGCUUUUAUUAUCCAUGUUCCCUCGGGAUAAAUCUCCAAAAAGCAAACUGCCAGGUAAGCGUAGCCUCGCUUCUCAAAGCACGGUCUGAGAACCAGCUGCAUCAAGAUCUCAAUAUCACCUGGAAGCUUGUUAGAAAGGCACACUCUCUGCCCCUCCCUAAACCUGCAGCAUCUUAACAAGAUGCCCUGGUGAUUCAUAUAUACAU
ensembl:lncRNA